rnacentral:rRNA from 1 species
GCAGUCGAGCGGUAGAGAGAAGCUUGCUUCUCUUGAGAGCGGCGGACGGGUCAGUAAUGCCUAGGAAUCUGCCUGGUAGUGGGGGAUAACGUUCGGAAACGGACGCUAAUACCGCAUACGUCCUACGGGAGAAAGCAGGGGACCUUCGGGCCUUGCGCUAUCAGAUGAGCCUAGGUCGGAUUAGCUAGUUGGUGGGGUAAUGGCUCACCAAGGCGACGAUCCGUAACUGGUCUGAGAGGAUGAUCAGUCACACUGGAACUGAGACACGGUCCAGACUCCUACGGGAGGCAGCAGUGGGGAAUAUUGGACAAUGGGCGAAAGCCUGAUCCAGCCAUGCCGCGUGUGUGAAGAAGGUCUUCGGAUUGUAAAGCACUUUAAGUUGGGAGGAAGGGCAGUAAAUUAAUACUUUGCUGUUUUGACGUUACCGACAGAAUAAGCACCGGCUAACUCUGUGCCAGCAGCCGCGGUAAUACAGAGGGUGCAAGCGUUAAUCGGAAUUACUGGGCGUAAAGCGCGCGUAGGUGGUUAGUUAAGUUGGAUGUGAAAUCCCCGGGCUCAACCUGGGAACUGCAUUCAAAACUGACUGACUAGAGUAUGGUAGAGGGUGGUGGAAUUUCCUGUGUAGCGGUGAAAUGCGUAGAUAUAGGAAGGAACACCAGUGGCGAAGGCGACCACCUGGACUGAUACUGACACUGAGGUG